rnacentral:lncRNA from 1 species
CUCAACCACAGCAAGAUUGGGAUCAAGGAAAUGGGCUCCUCGUUUUGACUACAUCCUCACCCAGCAGGCCUUGGUAGCGGUAGACAACAGUACUCCCAUCAACCGUGACCUCAUCAGCAACUUCUUUUCAGAUCCAGUGCAUGGAGCCGUUGAAGUCUGUGCCCAAUUAAGACCCACAGUUGACAUUUCCGUGCCAGCAGAUGCUGACUUUGUGCGACCUGAGCUCCGCCAAUCUAGCAACUGAGAUUCAAAAGGAGAACCUUUAGCUUG